rnacentral:rRNA from 1 species
GACGAACGCUGGCGGCGUGCUUAACACAUGCAAGUCGAACGGAAAGGCCCUGCUUGCAGGGUACUCGAGUGGCGAACGGGUGAGUAACACGUGGGUGAUCUGCCCUGCACUUCGUGAUAAGCCUGGGAAACUGGGUCUAAUACCGGAUAGGAGCCAUUUUUAGUGUGAUGGUGGGAAAGUUUUUUCGGUGUAGGAUGAGCUCGCGGCCUAUCAGCUUGUUGGUGGGGUAAUGGCCUACCAAGGCGGCGACGGGUAGCCGGCCUGAGAGGGUGGACGGCCACAGUGGGACUGAGAUACGGCCCAGACUCCUACGGGAGGCAGCAGGGGGGAAUAUUGCACAAUGGGCGCAAGCCUGAUGCAGCGACGCCGCGUGGGGGGUGACGGCCUUCGGGUUGUAAACUCCUUUCGCUAGGGACGAAGCUGUUUGUGACGGUACCUAGAUAAGAAGCACCGGCUAACUACGUG